ACGGGUGAGUAAUGCCUAGGAAUCUGCCUGGUAGUGGGGGAUAACGUCCGGAAACGGACGCUAAUACCGCAUACGUCCUACGGGAGAAAGCAGGGGACCUUCGGGCCUUGCGCUAUCAGAUGAGCCUAGGUCGGAUUAGCUAGUUGGUGAGGUAAAGGCUCACCAAGGCGACGAUCCGUAACUGGUCUGAGAGGAUGAUCAGUCACACUGGAACUGAGACACGGUCCAGACUCCUACGGGAGGCAGCAGUGGGGAAUAUUGGACAAUGGGCGAAAGCCUGAUCCAGCCAUGCCGCGUGUGUGAAGAAGGUCUUCGGAUUGUAAAGCACUUUAAGUUGGGAGGAAGGGUCGUUACCUAAUACGUGACGAUUUUGACGUUACCGACAGAAUAAGCACCGGCUAACUCUGUGCCAGCAGCCGCGGUAAUACAGAGGGUGCAAGCGUUAAUCGGAAUUACUGGGCGUAAAGCGCGCGUAGGUGGUUUGUUAAGUUGAAUGUGAAAUCCCCGGGCUCAACCUGGGAACUGCAUCCAAAACUGGCAAGCUAGAGUAGGGCAGAGGGUGGUGGAAUUUCCUGUGUAGCGGUG
rnacentral:rRNA from 4 species